AACGAACGCUGGCGGCGUGCCUAACACAUGCAAGUCGAACGAGAAUUUUCCCUUCGGGGAAAUAGUAAAGUGGCGCAAGGGUGAGUAACACGUGAAUAAUCUGCCUACGAAUUCGGGAUAACGCGGCGAAAGCUGUGCUAAUACCGGAUAAGACCACAUCUCUUAAGAGAUGUGGCCAAAGGAACCUCAAGUUCCGUUUGUAGAUGAGUUCGCGAACCAUUAGCUUGUUGGCGGGAUAAUAGCCCACCAAGGCGACGAUGGUUAGCCGGCCUGAGAGGGUGAUCGGCCACACUGGAACUGAGACACGGUCCAGACUCCUACGGGAGGGCAGCAGUGGGGAAUAUUGCGCAAUGGGGGAAACCCUGAUGCAGCGAUGCCGCGUGAGUGAAG
rnacentral:rRNA from 1 species